rnacentral:siRNA from 1 species
CAAGUUUGCAGAGAGCCUUCCC